GACGAACGCUGGCGGCGUGCUUAACACAUGCAAGUCGAACGGAAAGGCCCUGCUUUUGUGGGGUGCUCGAGUGGCGAACGGGUGAGUAACACGUGAGUAACCUGCCCUUGACUUUGGGAUAACUUCAGGAAACUGGGGCUAAUACCGGAUAGGAGCUCCUGCUGCAUGGUGGGGGUUGGAAAGCUUCGGCGGUUGGGGAUGGACUCGCGGCUUAUCAGCUUGUUGGUGGGGUAGUGGCUUACCAAGGCUUUGACGGGUAGCCGGCCUGAGAGGGUGAUCGGCCACAUUGGGACUGAGAUACGGCCCAGACUCCUACGGGAGGCAGCAGUGGGGAAUAUUGCACAAUGGGCGGAAGCCUGAUGCAGCAACGCCGCGUGCGGGAUGACGGCCUUCGGGUUGUAAACCGCUUUCGCCUGUGACGAAGCGUGAGUGACGGUAAUGGGUAAAGAAGCACCGGCUAACUACGUGCCAGCAGCCGCGGUGAUACGUAGGGUGCGAGCGUUGUCCGGAUUUAUUGGGCGUAAAGGGCUCGUAGGUGGUUGAUCGCGUCGGAAGUGUAAUCUUGGGGCUUAACCCUGAGCGUGCUUUCGAUACGGGUUGACUUGAGGAAGGUAGGGGAGAAUGGAAUUCCCGGUGGAGCGGUGGAAUGCGCAGAUAUCAGGAGGAACACCAGUGGCGAAGGCGGUUCUCUGGGCCUUUCCUGACGCUGAGGAGCGAAAGCGUGGGGAGCGAACAGGCUUAGAUACCCUGGUAGUCCACGCUGUAAACGGUGGGUACUAGGUGUGGGGUCCAUUCCACGGGUUCCGUGCCGUAGCUAACGCUUUAAGUACCCCGCCUGGGGAGUACGGCCGCAAGGCUAAAACUCAAAGGAAUUGACGGGGCCCCGCACAAGCGGCGGAGCAUGCGGAUUAAUUCGAUGCAACGCGUAGAACCUUACCUGGGUUUGACAUGGAUCGGGAGUGCUCAGAGAUGGGUGUGCCUCUUUUGGGGUCGGUUCACAGGUGGUGCAUGGCUGUCGUCAGCUCGUGUCGUGAGAUGUUGGGUUAAGUCCCGCAACGAGCGCAACCCUUGUUCACUGUUGCCAGCACGUUAUGGUGGGGACUCAGUGGAGACCGCCGGGGUCAACUCGGAGGAAGGUGGGGAUGACGUCAAGUCAUCAUGCCCCUUAUGUCCAGGGCUUCACGCAUGCUACAAUGGCUGGUACAGAGAGUGGCGAGCCUGUGAGGGUGAGCGAAUCUCGGAAAGCCGGUCUCAGUUCGGAUUGGGGUCUGCAACUCGACCUCAUGAAGUCGGAGUCGCUAGUAAUCGCAGAUCAGCAACGCUGCGGUGAAUACGUUCCCGGG
rnacentral:rRNA from 1 species